UACGACUACAUAUCAGGCAUAUCAAUAAGCGGAGGAAAAGAAACUAACAAGGAUUCCCUUAGUAACGGCGAGUGAAGCGGGAAGAGCUCAAAUUUGAAAUCUUCAAGGUUCUACCUUGACGAAUUGUAGUUUAAAGAAGUGUUUUCUGUUAGAUGAGUAGCAAAAGUUCCUUGGAAUGGGACAUCAUAGAGGGUGAGAAUCCCGUAUUUGGUUAUUCAUUCUAGCUUUGUGAUACACUUUCAAAGAGUCGGAUUGUUUGGGAAUGCAGUCCAAAAUGGGUGGUAAAUUUCAUCUAAAGCUAAAUAUUGGCGAGAGACCGAUAGCGAACAAGUACCGUGAGGGAAAGAUGAAAAGAACUUUGAAAAGAGAGUUAAACAGUACGUGAAAUUGUCAAAAGGGAAGCGUUUGACACCAGUGUUGUUUUUUCCGAAAAUCAAUUACGAAUGGCUUGAUUUUGUGUUGUAUUGACCUUAUCAGCUUUCUGCACUUUUUUUCGAGUCUUUCUUAAUGCACUUUUCGGUUAACAAGUCAACAUCAAUUUCUUUUGUUGUAAAAGAGUAUUCGGAAGGUGGCUUUCUUUUCGGAGAAAGUGUUAUAUAGCCCUAUACUUCUACAAUCGGAGAGAUUGAGGUCUGCAGCGUAGAUCCUUCGGGGUUAGAUACAUUUGUGCUAAGUUGUAGCUUUUCAGAGACAACUUGUUGACUAUGUUUAGUCAUGCGGCUUACUCGCUUAUGCUAUUUUACCUACGCUUAGGAUGUUGAGUAGCGACAUACGCAC
rnacentral:rRNA from 1 species